UCUCCGUUGGUGAACCAGCGGAGGGAUCAUUACAGGACUCGCAAGACUCCUACAACCCUGUGAACUUAACUAUAAGCACGUUGCUUCGACGGGUGUCUCGGAGGGGGUUCUCCCUCCCCGAGACGCUAAACCCGCCGGCAGCCUACUAUACUCUGUCUCUUUGCGUUGGCAUCUCGAGUACAAUCAAACAAGUUAAAACUUUCAACAACGGAUCUCUUGGUUCUG
rnacentral:misc_RNA from 1 species